UGGGGAAUAUUGCACAAUGGGCGCAAGCCUGAUGCAGCAACGCCGCGUGAGGGAAGACGGUUUUCGGAUUGUAAACCUUUGUCUUUGGUGAAGAAGAAAGUGACGGUAACCAAGGAGGAAGCCACGGCUAACUACGUGCCAGCAGCCGCGGUAAUACGUAGGUGGCAAGCGUUGUCCGGAAUUACUGGGUGUAAAGGGAGCGCAGGCGGGACUGCAAGUUGGAUGUGAAAUACCGAGGCUCAACCUCGGGGCUGCAUCCAAAACUGUAGUUCUUGAGUGAAGUAGAGGUAGGCGGAAUUCCGAGUGUAGCGGUGAAAUGCGUAGAUAUUCGGAGGAACACCAGUGGCGAAGGCGGCCUACUGGGCUUUAACUGACGCUGAGGCUCGAAAGUGUGGGGAGCAAACAGGAUUAGAUACC
rnacentral:rRNA from 1 species